UACGUAGGGGGCGAGCGUUGUCCGGAAUCAUUGGGCGUAAAGAGCGCGUCGGCGGUCCGGUAAGUCCGCUCUGAAAGUCCGGGGCUCAACCCCGGGAGGCGGGCGGAUACUGUCGGGCUAGAGUCCGGAAGAGGCGAGUGGAAUUCCUGGUGUAGCGGUGAAAUGCGCAGAUAUCAGGAGGAACACCAAUGGCGGAGGCAGCUCGCUGGGACGGUACUGACGCUGAGGCGCGAAAGCGUGGGGAGCAAACAGG
rnacentral:rRNA from 1 species